CCUACGGGUGUGCAGCAGUAGGGAAAUUUUCACAAUGGGAGAAAGCUUGAAGGAGCAAAGCAGAGUGCAGGAUGAAGGCCUUAGGGUUGUAAACUGCUUUUAUACGCGAGAAAUAUGAUGGUAACUUAUGAAUAAGGAUCGGCUAACCACGUGACAGCAGGCGCGGUCAUACGUAGGAUCCGAGCAUUAUCCGGAUUGCCUGGGUGUACAGAGUUGCGUAGGUGGCAUGAUAAGUAGCUAGUGAAAUCUGGUGGCUCAACCAGUCAGACUGUUAGCUACACUGUUAAGCUCGAGCCCGUUAGGGGUAACUGGAAUGUCUAGUGUAGGAGUGAAAUCCGUAGAUAUUAGAAGGAACACCAAUGGCGUAGGCAGGUUACUGGGACGGUUCUGACACUAAGGCACGAAAGCGUAGGGAGCAAACGGGAUUAGAUACCCUUGUAGUC
rnacentral:rRNA from 1 species